rnacentral:rRNA from 1 species
AGUGAACGCUGGCGGUAGGCCUAACACAUGCAAGUCGAACGGCAGCACAGUAAGAGCUUGCUCUUACGGGUGGCGAGUGGCGGACGGGUGAGGAGUACAUCGGAAUCUACUUUUUCGUGGGGAUAACGUAGGGAAACUUACGCUAAUACCGCAUACGACCUACGGGUGAAAGCAGGGGAUCUUCGGACCUUGCGCGAUUGAAUGAGCCGAUGUCGGAUUAGCUAGUUGGCGGGGUAAAGGCCCACCAAGGCGACGAUCCGUAGCUGGUCUGAGAGGAUGAUCAGCCACACUGGAACUGAGACACGGUCCAGACUCCUACGGGAGGCAGCAGUGGGGAAUAUUGGACAAUGGGCGCAAGCCUGAUCCAGCCAUACCGCGUGGGUGAAGAAGGCCUUCGGGUUGUAAAGCCCUUUUGUUGGGAAAGAAAAGCAGCAGGUUAAUACCCCGCUGUUCUGACGGUACCCAAAGAAUAAGCACCGGCUAACUUCGUG